rnacentral:rRNA from 1 species
AUUGAACGCUGGCGGCAGGCCUAACACAUGCAAGUCGAACGAGUGGCGGACGGGUGAGUAAUGUCUGGGAAACUGCCCGAUGGAGGGGGAUAACUACUGGAAACGGUAGCUAAUACCGCAUACCAUCAGAUGUGCCCAGAUGGGAUUAGCUAGUAGGUUGGGUAACGGCUCAACUAGGCGACGAUCCCUAGCUGGUCUGCGAGGAUGACCAGCCACACUGGGACUGAGACACGGUCCAGACGCCUACGGGAGGCAGCAGUGGGGAAUAUGGCACAAUGGGCGCAAGCCUUAUGCAGCCAUGCCGCGUGUAUGAAGAAGGCCUUCGGGUUGUAAAGUACUUUCAGCGGUGAGGCGUUACCCGCAGAAGAAGCACCGGCUAACUCCGUGCCAGCAGCCGCGGUAAUAC